AGCUUUGUGCAGUGGCAGUAUCGUAGCCAAUGAGGCUUAUCCAAGGCGUGAUUAUUGCUAACUGAAAACAGAAAUUAUUU
rnacentral:snRNA from 1 species